GCAAGAUACCACGGGCGCACGGCGGAUGCCUUGGCACAGGGAGCCGAUGAAGGACGCGGCAAGCUGCGAUAAUCCCCGGCGAGGAGCACACAUCCUUCGACCCGGGGGUCUCCGAAUGGGCGAACCCAUCCACAGCAGUGUGGAUAUCCCGACCCUGAACACAUAGGGGCCGGGAGGACAACCCGGGGAACUGAAACAUCUAAGUACCCGGAGGAGAGGAAAUCAAUCUCGAGACUCCCCGAGUAGCGGCGAGCGAAAGGGGACCGAUGGCCAAACCGUCGAGCGGGCAUACCCGGCAGGGGUUCCGCCGACGGGGUUGCAGGGCCGCGCAUCCGGGGGCUGCCGCCCCCGGGCGCAGGUCCGGCUGGGGAGCGGAACGGCAUGGGAGGGCCGGCCGCAGCGGGUGACAGCCCCGUACGCGAACCCAGACCGGACGGCGCGACGCGGUCCCUGAGUAGGGCCGGGCACGUGAAACCCGGUCCGAACCUGGGUGGACCACCAUCCAAGCCUGAGUACUACCCUGUGACCGAUAGCGCACCAGUACCGUGAGGGAAAGGUGAAAAGCACCCCGGGAGGGGAGUGAAACAGUACCUGAAACCGUGCGCCCACGAGCAGUCGGAGCACCUAUACGGUGUGACGGCGUGCCUUUUGUAGAAUGAGCCAGCGAGUCGCUGGCGCGGGGCGAGGUUAACCGAAAGGGAGCCGGAGCGAAAGCGAGCCUUAACAGGGCGACUUGAGUCCCGCGCCGCGGACGCGAAGCCGGGUGAGCUAUCCGUGGGCAGGCUGAAGCGGGGGUAAGACCCCGUGGAGGGCCGAACGCACGUCGGUUGAAAACGGCGGCGAUGACCUGCGGAUAGGGGUGAAAGGCCAAUCAAACCCGGAGAUAUCUCGUUCUCCCCGAAAUAGCUUUAGGGCUAGCGUCGCGCGUUCACCGCCGGAGGUAGAGCACCGGAUGGACGAGGGGGCUUCGCCGCCUACCGAAUCCAACCGAACUCCGAAUGCCGGCGGCCCAGAGCGCGGCAGUCAGAGCAUGUGGGCUAAGCUGUGUGCUCGAGAGGGAAACAGCCCGGACCGCCCGCUAAGGUCCCCAAGUUCCAGCCGAGUGGCAAAGGAUGUGCGUCCGCCCAGACAACCAGGAUGUUGGCUUAGAAGCAGCCAUGCAUUCAAAGAGUGCGUAACAGCUCACUGGUCGAGUGGACAUGCGCCGACAAUACACGGGGCUAAGCUGGACACCGAAGCGGCGGGAUUUUGAUUUUCAGAAUCGGUAGGGGAGCUUCCCAUGGGCGGCGAAGCCGCCGGGCGACCGGCGGUGGAGCGCAUGGGAGUGAGAAUGCUGGCAUGAGUAGCGAGAGACGAGAGAGUAACUCGUCCGCCGUGAACCCGAGGUUUCCUGGGCAAGGCUAAUCCUCCCAGGGUCAGUCGGGGGCUAAGGCGAGGCCGGGAGGCGUAGCCGACGCGCAGCAGGCAGACAUUCCUGCACCGCGCACGCGGCGCUACGACCGACGGGGCGACGGAUGGGGGUGGCUCGGCGGGGUUCUGGACGUCCCCGUGAUGGAGCGCGGCCCGCGGACCAGGGAAAUCCGGUCCGCACGAGGGCGAGGCUCCGGACGAAGCAUCUGAGCGAAGCGAGUGAGCCCGAGGUCCCUAGAAAAACCCCUAGGCAGGCGCGUGCGCGCCCGUACCGCAAACCGACACAGGUGGGUGGGUAGAACAUACCGAGGCGAUCGGGUCAACCAUGGUCAAGGAACUCGGCACAAUGGCCCCGUAACUUCGGGAGAAGGGGUGCCCGCGCGUACGUGAACGGACUUGCUCCGGGAGCGGAGGCGGGCCGCAGUGGAGAGGCCCAAGCGACUGUUUACCAAAAACACAGGACUCUGCAGAAGCCGCAAGGCGACGUAUAGGGUCUGACGCCUGCCCGGUGCCGGAAGGUCACGCGGAGGAGUUAGCGCAUCGCGCGAAGCCCCGAAGCCAAGCCCCGGUAAACGGCGGCCGUAACUAUAACGGUCCUAAGGUAGCGAAAUUCCUUGUCGGGUAAGUUCCGACCUGC
rnacentral:rRNA from 1 species